UACCAGCACCCCGAGUGGUCGGGACGAUUAUUGGGCCUAAAGCAUCCGUAGCCGGUUCUACAAGUCUUCCGUUAAAUCCACCUGCUUAACAGAUGGGCUGCGGAGGAUACUAUAGAGCUAGGAGGCGGGAGAGGCAAGCGGUACUUAGUGGGUAGGGGUAAAAUCCGUUGAUCCAUUGAAGACCACCAGUGGCGAAGGCGGCUUGCCAGAACGCACUCGACGGUGAAGGGA
rnacentral:rRNA from 1 species